rnacentral:rRNA from 1 species
AGAGAUCAUGGCUCAGAAUCAACGCUGGCGGCGUGCCUAACACAUGCAAGUCGAACGCGAAAGGGGAGCAAUCCCUGAGUAGAGUGGCAAACGGGUGAGUAACACGUGGGUGACCUGCCUUCGAGUGGGGGAUAACGUCCCGAAAGGGACGCUAAUACCGCAUGACAUCCUGCUUUUGGAAAAGCGGAGAUCAAAGCUGGGGAUCGCAAGACCUGGCGCUUGAAGAGGGGCCCGCGCCUGAUUAGCUAGUUGGUGGGGUAAUGGCUCACCAAGGCUACGAUCAGUAUCCGGCCUGAGAGGGCGGACGGACACACUGGGACUGAGACACGGCCCAGACUCCUACGGGAGGCAGCAGUGGGGAAUUGUUCGCAAUGGGCGCAAGCCUGACGACGCAACGCCGCGUGGAGGAUGAAGAUCUUCGGGUCGUAAACCCCUGUCGAGCGGGAAGAACAGUUUCGGAGUGAAUAUCUCCGGAACCUGACGGUACCGCUAAAGGAAGCCCCGGCUAACUCCGUGCCAGCAGCCGCGGUAAUACGGGGGGGGCAAGCGUUGUUCGGAAUUACUGGGCGUAAAGGGCUCGUAGGCGGCCAACUAAGUCAGACGUGAAAUCCCCAGGCUCAACUUGGGAACUGCGUCUGAUACUGGAUGGCUUGAAUUCGGGAGAGGGAUGCAGAAUUCCAGGUGUAGCGGUGAAAUGCGUAAAUAUCUGGAGGAAUACCGGUGGCGAAGGCGGCAUCCUGGACCGACAUUGACGCUGAGGAGCGGAAGCUAGGGGAGCAAACGGG